rnacentral:rRNA from 1 species
GACGAACCGUACAAACGUUAUUCGGAAUUACUGGGCUUAAAGGGUGCGUAGGCGGCGGUGCAAGUUGGGUGUGAAAUCCCUCGGCUCAACCGAGGAACUGCGCUCAAAACUGCAUUGCUUUGAGGGAGAUAGAGGUGAGUGGAAACUUUAGGGUGGAGCGGUGAAAAUGCGUUUGAUAUCCUAAGGAACACCAGUGGCGAAAAGCGACUCACUGGGUCUCU